rnacentral:rRNA from 1 species
UUAUCUAUCUAUAUGUCUUGACCAAAUUACGUGCCAGCAGUCGCGGCAACACGUAAAAGACUAGUGUUAUUCAUGUUUAAUCGGUUUAAAGGGUACUUAGACGGCAAAUAAAGCUUUAACAGUACUUAUUAUGCUAGAGUUAUAUGUAAGGGAGCUUUAAGGUACUUUUGAGUGAAGAGAUGAAAUUCGAUCAUACCAAAUCUUGGCACGGGUUUUGGCGAAGGCAUCUUCUUAUGUAAUAACUGACGUUGAAGGACGAAGGCUUUUAUAGCAAACAGGAUUAAAUACCCCAGUAGUCCAGGCAGAAAAUGAUGAAUGUCAUAGAUUAGAUUUAAUUUGGUCUAUAAAAGACAACGUGUAAGCA